ACGAGACGAAACGGGAUAUUUAACGACUAACGGGUUAAUAUCUUAAAUAUCUAAGGCUACCCCACCAAAACCACCCCCCAAACCACCCAACACCCCUUUAUCUACCUCACUCACGGCUGAAUUCAGCCAACACACUCCAAUCAUCUUUGCUCUCUCACACACACAACACCCAAAACACCUACUUAUCACGCCAAACACCAUUUUUAGCUUGGACGGAGGUUUCAAGCUCCGAUUUGAGCACCGAGACGAGCACCGAUCAUCUUUUCGAUCACGUAUCUAAGUAGGUCCUUUUGGGAAGUAACGACUUGAGGGAGAGAGUGACGUUACUCAUUGAUACAGAGACACAACGAGGUUGAGCUGAUGUGAUGAUGGUGCUGCAAUGAGCGGAGUCUCCAGGGUUGUUAAUAAAUAGUUAACCUGUCUAGAAUAUGUCUUCAUACAUAUGUCUAGCUACUUUCCGCUGCAAGAUGUUGUUGAUGUUAUAGUAUGUUAUGUCAUACUUUGAGUCUUAAGAGAAUGGUUUCAUAUGAUGUAUAACUUGAUUAAUGAUAUUAAUUAAGUUUUAUGUUGUCUUUCA